GGAGGAACUGGCUGGCUAAACCAGGAAGAGAUCCCGAGAGUGCGCGCAACAAAAGGGGACUAGAAUAAAAAUGACAGGCAGUAAAAACAAUACAAAUUUAAAAUCCUGUAACUUUCAGAAAUAAUUUAAGGCUGAAAGAAAAGGGGGAACAUUUUAGCUUUGCUGGCUUUGGGACAAUUUUCCAAGAUGCCAAAGACAUUAAGCAAAAUGAAAGUGCUGAGUUGAAGACCCAGAGUGCCUGGAUGCCUUCCUAGCUCCUACAGGGAUCAAACACAGCCCUGCUGGGAAGAGUAGAGGACGGGACACAGGAAGACUGCCCAGAAAACCCCAACUGCCACUCCAGGGGCACAGCCCACAUCAGAAGAUUCAUGUAUCUUUCCCAGGGCCACCACUGAGUUUUGCUUUGUGGCUGAGAUCCACUCUGGUGCCAGGACAAAAGGCGCUUUCACGGCUGCUCUUUGAGCCCCGUGG